rnacentral:rRNA from 1 species
ACCUGUUGAUUCUGCCAGUAGUCAUAUGCUUGUCUCAAAGAUUAAGCCAUGCAUGUCUAAGUAUAAGCACUUUAUACUGUGAAACUGCGAAUGGCUCAUUAAAUCAGUUAUCGUUUAUUUGAUAGUACCUUACUACAUGGAUACCUGUGGUAAUUCUAGAGCUAAUACAUGCUAAAAACCUCGACUUCGGAAGGGGUGUAUUUAUUAGAUAAAAAACCAAUGCCCUUCGGGGCUCCUUGGUGAUUCAUAAUAACUUAACGAAUCGCAUGGCCUUGCGCCGGCGAUGGUUCAUUCAAAUUUCUGCCCUAUCAACUUUCGAUGGUAGGAUAGUGGCCUACCAUGGUGGCAACGGGUAACGGGGAAUUAGGGUUCGAUUCCGGAGAGGGAGCCUGAGAAACGGCUACCACAUCCAAGGAAGGCAGCAGGCGCGCAAAUUACCCAAUCCCGACACGGGGAGGUAGUGACAAUAAAUACUGAUACGGGGCUCUUUUGGGUCUCGUAAUUGGAAUGAGUACAAUCUAAAUCCCUUAACGAGGAACAAUUGGAGGGCAAGUCUGGUGCCAGCAGCCGCGGUAAUUCCAGCUCCAAUAGCGUAUAUUAAAGUUGUUGCAGUUAAAAAGCUCGUAGUUGAACCUUGGGUCUGGCUGGCCGGUCCGCCUCACCGCGAGUACUGGUCCGGCUGGACCUUUCCUUCUGGGGAACCUCAUGGCCUUCACUGGCUGUGGGGGGAACCAGGACUUUUACUGUGAAAAAAUUAGAGUGUUCAAAGCAGGCCUUUGCUCGAAUACAUUAGCAUGGAAUAAUAGAAUAGGACGCUAACAUUAGGGUCAGACAUUAGGGUCAACAUUAGGGUCAACAUUAGGGUCAACAUUAGGGUCAACAUUAGGGUCAACAUUAGGGUCAACAUUAGGGUCAACAUUAGGGUCAACAUUAGGGUCAACAUUAGGGUCAACAUUAGGGUCAACAUUAGGGUCAACAUUAGGGUCAACAUUAGGGUCAACAUUAGGGUCAACGAAAAAAAGAAAAAAC